rnacentral:rRNA from 1 species
GAGUUUGAUCAUGGCUCAAGAUGAACGCUGGCGGCGUGCUUAACACAUGCAAGUCGAACGAAGCGCCUUAUUUGAUUUUCUUCGGAACUGAAGAUUUGGUGACUGAGUGGCGGACGGGUGAGUAACGCGUGGGGUAACCUGCCCCUGUACAGGGGGAUAACAAUCAGAAAUGACUGCUAAUACCGCAUAAGACCACAGCACCGCAUGGUGCAGGGGUAAAAACUCCGGUGGUACAGGAUGGACCCGCGUCUGAUUAGCUGGUUGGUGAGGUAACGGCUCACCAAGGCGACGAUCAGUAGCCGGCUUGGGAGAGUGAACGGCCACAUUGGGACUGAGACACGGCCCAAACUCCUACGGGAGGCAGCAGUGGGGAAUAUUGCACAAUGGGGGAAACCCUGAUGCAGCAACGCCGCGUGAGUGAAGAGUAUUUCGGUAUGUAAAGCUCUAUCAGCAGGGAAGAAAGUGACGGUACCUGACUAAGAAGCCCCGGCUAACUACGUGCCAGCAGCCGCCGUAA